rnacentral:rRNA from 1 species
UCAAAUUAACGUAGCGCGGUGGUCCCACCUGACCCCAUGCCGAACUCAGAAGUGAAACGCCGUAGCGCCGAUGGUAGUGUGGGGUCUCCCCAUGCGAGAGUAGGGAACUGCCAGGC